AGUGAACGCUGGCGGCGUGCUUAACACAUGCAAGUAGAACGAGAACGGGUUAUAGCUUGCUAUAAUUGUCAGCUAAGUGGCGCACGGGUGAGUAAUGUAUAGGUAAUAUGCCUCUUACUAAGGGAUAACAAAUGGAAACGUUUGCUAAUACCUUAUACUCCUUAUUAACAUAAGUUAAUAAGGGAAAGAAUUAUUGGUAAGAGAUAAGCCUGUAUGGUAUCAGGUAGUUGGUGGGGUAAUGGCUUACAAAGACUAUGACACAUAACUGGUUUGAGAGGAUGAUCAGUCACACUGGAACUGAGACACGGUCCAGACUCCUACGGGAGGCAGCAGUGGGGAAUAUUGCACAAUGGACGAAAGUCUGAUGCAGCAACGCCGCGUGGAGGAUGACACAUUUCGGUGCGUAAACUCCUUUUAUAUGAGAAGAUAAUGACGGUAUUAUAUGAAUAAGCACCGGCUAACUCCGUGCCAGCAGCCGCGGUAAAAC
rnacentral:rRNA from 1 species